AACCUGGCGGCGUGUUUACCAUGCAAGUCGAGCGAGAAGUUUCUCAGUGGAUUCUUCGGAUGACACAGAGUUACGGAAAGCGGCGGACGGGUGAGUAACGCGUAGGCAACCUGCCCCUUGCAGAGGGAUAGCCUCGGGAAACCGGGAUUAAAACCUCAUAAUGCGCAGCUGAGACAUCUCAGAUGCGCCAAAGAUUUAUCGGCAAGGGAUGGGCCUGCGUCUGAUUAGUUAGUUGGUGGGGUAAGGGCCUACCAAGGCGACGAUCAGUAGCCGACCUGAGAGGGUGAUCGGCCACAUUGGAACUGAGACACGGUCCAAACUCCUACGGGAGGCAGCAGUGGAGAAUCUUGCACAAUGGGCGAAAGCCUGAUGCAGCAACGCCGCGUGAAGGAUGAAGGCCCUUGGGUCGUAAACUUCUGUUCUAAGGGAAGAUAGUGACGGUACCUUAGGAGCAAGUCCCGGCUAACUACGUGCCAGCAGCCGCGGUAAU
rnacentral:rRNA from 1 species